rnacentral:rRNA from 1 species
GUAUAAUACCCGAUAGGUCUCGAUUGCUGGAAUGCAUCGAGAUUUAAAGCUCCGGCGCCUAAGGAUGGGUCUGCGGCCUAUCAGGUAGUAGUGGGUGUAGCGUACCUACUAGCCUACGACGGGUACGGGUUGUGAGAGCAAGAGCCCGGAGAUGGAUUCUGAGACACGAAUCCAGGCCCUACGGGGUGCAGCAGGCGCGAAAACUUUACAAUGCUGGCAACAGCGAUAAGGGAACCUCGAGUGCCAGGUUACAAAUCUGGCUGUCGAGAUGCCUAAAAAGCAUUUCAUAGCAAGGGCCGGGCAAGACCGGUGCCAGCCGCCGCGGUAACACCGGCGGCUCGAGUGGUAACCGUUAUUAUUGGGUCUAAAGGGUCUGUAGCCGGCCGGAUAAGUCUCUUGAGAAAUCUGGCAGCUUAACUGUCAGGCUUUCAGGAGAUACUGUCUGGCUCGAGGCCGGGAGAGGUGAGAGGUACUUCAGGGGUAGGGGUGAAAUCUUGUAAUCCUUGAAGGACCACCAGUGGCGAAGGCGUCUCACCAGAACGGACCUGACGGCAAGGGACGAAAGCUAGGGGCACGAACCGGAUUAGAUACCCGGGUAGUCCUAGCCGUAAACGAUACUCGCUAGGUGUCGGCCACGGUGCGACCGUUGUCGGUGCCGUAGGGAAGCCGUGAAGCGAGCCACCUGGGAAGUACGGCCGCAAGGCUGAAACUUAAAGGAAUUGGCGGGGGAGCACCACAAC